ACCCAAUGUAGCUCAGCUGGUUAGAGUAUGGUGUGCUAAUGCCAAGGUUGUAGGUUCAAUCCCUGUAUAGGACA